rnacentral:rRNA from 1 species
GCAAGGCGAACGAGGGGAAGUGAAACAUCUCAGUACCCUUAGGAAAAGAAAUCAAUUGAGAUUCCCUCAGUAGCGGCGAGCGAACGGGGAUCAGCCCAUUAAGUUAUGUGUGUUUUAGUGGAACGCUCUGGGAAGUGCGAACGUAGAGGGUGAUAUUCCCGUACACGAAAGGGCACACAUAAUGAUGACGAGUAGGGCGAGGCACGUGAAACCUUGUCUGAAUAUGGGGGGACCAUCCUCCAAGGCUAAAUACUCCUGACUGACCGAUAGUGAACCAGUACCGUGAGGGAAAGGCGAAAAGAACCCCUGUGAGGGGAGUGAAAUAGAUCCUGAAACCGCAUGCAUACAAGCAGUGGGAGCACCUUCGUGGUGUGACUGCGUACCUUUUGUAUAAUGGGUCAGCGACUUAUAUUCAGUAGCGAGGUU